rnacentral:rRNA from 1 species
AUUGAACGCUGGCGGCAUGCCUUACACAUGCAAGUCGAACGGUAACAGGUCUUCGGAUGCUGACGAGUGGCGAACGGGUGAGUAAUGCAUCGGAACGUGCCCAGUAGUGGGGGAUAGCCCGGCGAAAGCCGGAUUAAUACCGCAUACGACCUGAGGGUGAAAGGGGGGGAUCGCAAGACCUCUCGCUAUUGGAGCGGCCGAUGUCAGAUUAGCGAGUUGGUGGGGUAAAGGCCUACCAAGGCAACGAUCUGUAGUUGGUCUGAGAGGACGACCAGCCACACUGGGACUGAGACACGGCCCAGACUCCUACGGGAGGCAGCAGUGGGGAAUUUUGGACAAUGGGCGCAAGCCUGAUCCAGCAAUGCCGCGUGCAGGAAGAAGGCCUUCGGGUUGUAAACUGCUUUUGUCAGGGAAGAAAUCUUCUGGGUUAAUACCUCGGGAGGAUGACGGUACCUGAAGAAUAAGCACCGGCUAACUACGUGCCAGCCGCCGCGGUAA